rnacentral:rRNA from 1 species
AUUGAACGCUGGCGGCAGGCCUAACACAUGCAAGUCGAACGAGUGGCGGACGGGUGAGUAAUGUCUGGGAAACUGCCCGAUGGAGGGGGAUAACUACUGGAAACGGUAGCUAAUACCGCAUACCAUCGGAUGUGCCCAGAUGGGAUUAGCUAGUAGGUGGGGUAACGGCUCACCUAGGCGACGAUCCCUAGCUGGGCGGAGAGGAUGACCAGCGACACUGGAGCGGAGACACGGUCCAGAGUCCUACGGGAGGCAGCAGUGGGGAAUAUUGCACAAGGGGGGCGAGCCUGAUGCAGCCAUGCCGAGUGUAUGAAGAAGGCCUUCGGGUUGUAAAGUACUUUCAGCGGGGAUGCGUUACCCGCAGAAGAAGCACCGGCUAACUCCGUGCCAGCAGCCGCGGUAAUUC